CCUACGGGUGGCAGCAGUGAGGAAUAUUGGUCAAUGGCCGGAAGCCUGAACCAGCCAAGCCGCGUGAAGGACGAAGGUGCUAAGCAUUGUAAACUUCUUUUGUAAAGGGACAAAAUCACGCUCGAGUGCCUGACCGAGGGUACUUUAAGAAAAAGCAUCGGCUAACUCCGUGCCAGCAGCCGCGGUAAUACGGAGGAUGCGAGCGUUAUCCGGAUUUAUUGGGUUUAAAGGGUGCGUAGGCGGAGUGUUAAGUCAGCGGUAAAAGCCCGGGGAUAAACCCCGGCGAGCCGUUGAUACUGGCUGUCUUGAGAUGACGAGAGGUAGGCGGAAUGCGUGGUGUAGCGGUGAAAUGCUUAGAUAUU
rnacentral:rRNA from 1 species